AGUGAACGCUGGCGGCAGGCCCAACACAUGCAAGUCUAGCGGCAGCGCGGGGCAACCUGGCGGCGAGCGGCGGACGGGUGAGGAAUACGUCGGAAUCUGCCUUUUUGUGGGGGAUAACGUAGGGAAACUUACGCUAAUACCGCAUACGACCUACGGGUGAAAGUGGGGGACCGGAAGGCCUCACGCAGAAAGAUGAGCAGACGUCCGAUUAGCUAGGUGGUGAGGUAAUGGCUCACCAAGGCGACGAUCGGUAGCUGGUCUGAGAGGAUGAUCAGCCACACUGGGACUGAGACACGGCCCAGACUCCUACGGGAGGCAGCAUUGGUGAAUAUUAUGCACUGGGCGCAAGCCUGAUCCUGCCAUGCCGCGUGUGUGAAGAAGGCCUUCGAGUUGUAAAGCACUUUUGUCCGGAAAGAAAUCCUGAAGAUUAAUACUCAUUGGGGAUGACGGUACCGGAAGAAUAAGCACCGGCUAACUUCGUGCCAGCCGCCGCAGUAA
rnacentral:rRNA from 1 species